rnacentral:tRNA from 1 species
GCCGGGAUGACGUAAUUGGUAGCCGUAGGCGACUUAAAAUCGCCAGCCCGAAAGGGCGUCCGGGUUCGACUCCCGGUCCCGGCA